GACGAACGCUGGCGGCGUGCCUAAUACAUGCAAGUCGAACGCAGUGGGGACGGGUGAGUAACACGUGGGUAACCUCCCAUCAGAGGGGAUAACACUUGGAAACAGGUGCUAAACCCAUACGGCAGGAGGGGCCCGCUGUGCAUUAGCUAGUGGGGGAGGUAACGGCUAACCAAGGCCACGAUGCAUAGUCGACCUGAGAGGGUGAUCGGGCACACUUGGACUGAGAAAAGGCCCAGACUGCUACGGGAGGCAGCAGUAGGGAAUCUUCGGCAAUGGGCGAAAGUCUGACCGAGCAACGCCGCGUGAGUGAAGAAGGUUUUCGGAUCGUAAAACUCUGUUGUUAGAGAAGCGGUAUUUAACCAGAAAGCCACGGCUAACUACGUGCCAGCCGCCGCGGUAAUAC
rnacentral:rRNA from 1 species